CAUUGGCUGCCACCGCGCCCGGCCCUGGCACCAUGUGCUCGGGGACGCGAUGCGGAGCGGAGCCGGAGAGGCGCGGCCGGGCCCGGCCUGCCGGGACCCGCCGGCUCGGCGCGGCCGGCCCCCCGCUCGCGCGCUGCCCCGCCGCGGCCUGCUCGCCUCCCGGCCCGGGCCGCAGCCGCCCCCUGGCCCCGCGGGGCGCCGCGCAGCGCAGCACAGCGCCCGCCGCGGAGGAGCGGCCAGGGCGGCGGCCCCGGGAGGAGCGCAGCGCAGCGCAGCGCGGCGCAGUAGGUGUCGCGCGCCGGCAGGCUGGCUGCCGAACGAACGGACUCGCGAGGCCCCGAGCCUCUUCACGCUUAAGGGAUGGUCGGAUCUCCAGCGUUUACGGUUCACGGGCUGUCGCCGUCAGCGCCAUCCCGCCUGCUUCGCAAACGCGUUCAUAGCAGAGCAUCGAGACCGGGGCCGCUCCGGCUCACGGCGCUGUCUGCAAACUGACCUCGAGGGCUGCCCUUAUUCCCAAAUAAACUUUAGGAAAACUAGGCCAGAAAAGCCUCUUCCCAACUUCAGUCACAGGCUUCGGGGAUUUCUCCAGAAGCCUGACCAAGGCAUGCACUAGAAAUGUUAUCAAGCUUUGUAAACACUCUCCAAGAAGAAAAACGGCAUGGGAGAGUUAACCUUACCAAGUCAAGCAUCAGAGUUUUAAUUAGGUUAAUAAAAGGAUUACAUUGAAAUUACAUUUACUUCUAAGAACCUCAGAUUUACUGGGGCUCUGUGUCUGCAAAAUAUGAAAUAGCUGUAUUAUUAGCAGUACUUUGUCAUCUCUGAGCUGUAGUACCAUUUUUACUGUUAUUUGGUAUUGCGUGGUUACUUUUGCUAGUAACUACAGUGGGACACCUCUGGCUGUACUAAGGUGAAGCAGCUGUAUGUAGUUAGGAGCAGCAUUAUCCCAUUUAUAUGGCAACUUUCUUGGGUUUAGCUGUUUCUUGAUCUUCCUUAUAAGACACUAGACUUAUUAUUAUUUAUUUUGUCCUUUUGAAUACCUCCAGCUCCUUGAAUACAUUCUCACCUCAAAGGGGGGAAUGAGGUGUUGUCCCCCAUAUUAUGUGUCUCAGAGAUUUCUAUAAAAUCCCACAAGAGCGCUUGAGGAACCAUGCAGCAUACAGGCUAAGGUGGCAUCUGUGGGCUCACCCAGAGACUGCCAAAGGUAUCCAAAUUUAGAAACAAAGGAAACUGAUACCUUCGCUCAGAUUAGAAAGUGCACCAGAACAACCCGUUUUGUAUGAUUUUUCUAUAGAUAGAAUAUUUUUAGCUUUGAUACUGUUUCUUUCACUCUUAUACAUUUAUGCAUGUGUAACUUAUGCAGACAGGAAAUAACCAUGCAUAUUGAUAUUAAUAGCCUCUUUUCAGCACUUUAUUUCUCCCUUCCCUGCUAAACUUGUAAGACCUCCCAAGCAUUGCCUCCAUUUAAUAACGUACAGGUGGAAAACAGCCUAGCCAGCAAGUUACACACUGUGCAGUUUGCCUAAUACUGUCUCUUGCCAUGGAGCACAACUGGUUUGCCUUUUGUUAGGUAGCUUGCUGUAUGUAUUCUUCAUCUAAAGCCUAUCUUUGUUUAUGUCAUGCAGUAAUACAGAAUUUAUCACACAUAUUGCAAAUGAAUUUGCAGCUGAAACAGGUCAUGGCUUCUACUUAAUAUAGGUCUCAGACAUCAUCUAAAUUAUUAGAUUAUAUUUAUAUAAUUAUAUUUAUGUAAUGGUUGAAAAAAAUAAGACAAGUAGCUGCAUUAAAAAGGUAUGGCAUGACCCCCAGCUCACAGGCCACUAUCUCUGAUUAUCUUCCUAAGUGAUAUACAAACACAAGAAGACAUCCAGCCCUUGCUACCAAAACACAAGGAAAGUAGUAGAAUGUAAACACAAAGCUGCUAGUGUACAUACUGACACAUGAAUGACAUUUACAUUGUUCAGAAUAAAAAGCAGGAUAUUCCUGAAUAAUGAACAGGGAAGAAAACACUAUAAUAUGAAUCAUCUUUUAAAAUCAAAUAGGGGCUCUUUUGAAAUGGGAAAUUAUUCAUCAAAAAAAGUGCAGCUAAUAAUAAAGUCCCUUAACCUGUAUUUUGUAGUAGGUGACAGGUGAACAAAUCACAGGUCUAGAGUUUCUCUACCCUGCCUCUCUCUGGUAACGUCAUCUCCAGUACCAUCUGCUACCUACCAGACAAACAGACCAACCACAUAAUGAGGUACCAGCUUCCACCCAGCUACCGUGACUAAAUCAGAACAAAAGAAUUCAACGCCUCCUUCAACAAAGGGACACAAGUCUAAGCUGUCUUUGCUAAUUGCUGGGUUUCAGGUUGUCUGUUAGAGAUUUUAAGUGAGCUACAAACUACAUCAAUACUUUAUUGCUAUGGGAUAAAGGUAAAAAGAAUAAAAGAUAAAUGGAAGCAAAAGGCAAUGAUGUUGUUCUCCUAAAAUGUGAGACAGUUUGCUUCUUGACAGCAAGUGGAGCCCAACUCUUCAUCUCCCUGAAUCACUGGACAAAGACUAACAUGCUUGAGAUUCAUUUGCUUUCCAUGCUGACUUGAAACAAUUCAAUGAACUGAUUACUCCAUUCAUCUAUCAUGUUUUACACUUACUGUAUAAAAAGUGAGACUCUUUGGGUCAUUUUACAGUAGAAGAGAAGAGCAGGAUAAUCCUAUUAAAAGACACCAGACAAUUUAAAAAUAGGACCUUGUUGUUGCAGAUACUGUCAGGCUAAACGGUAGAUGAAUGUAUUUGUGAAGAUUUUUUUAGUUUUCCUGGGUAAGGCACAUUUUAUAUAUCUGUUCCUUUUUCUAAAUGUGUACUAUCCUUAGUCAGUUAAUGCCCUAUGAUGUAUGAGUCAGAGACAAUGUAAGUAGUUUGUCUCAGGAAAAAUUGGUACUAUACAUUGUUUCACUCACAUAAAGAUAGUGAAUGUCCUAUGCCUUAAAGCUGUUUACUAUAUUUGCUGCUUUUUAUUGUCUUUCUAAACUGUUAAAUAUGUAUCAAAAUGUGUCCAGGCUAAUAGGAACAAAGCAAUGCUGCGAGCUGCAUGAGAUAUUUCCAAGUUGGCAUUAAUUACAAGCCCAGUAAUAAAUGAAAAUUCUAAAAUCCUCUCCAAUUCCAUUGCUUUAACUCCAGUCAAUGAAUGUUUUAUAGUAGCACAUGGCAAAUAUACCAUUAUAGGAAUUGGCAGCUAAACAUAAUCUAAAUCCAGCAUCUUUGGGACAGGGUAGAAUCUCUUGGAUCUCACUGUUUGCCCCAAUUUAAAUAAGCUCCCUUGCUGUGUCUCAGCAGUACACCUAGCUUAAAACAAUGCAAGCAGCACACUUUUAAGAAGAUGAUCAGCAAAGAACAUGCUUUAUUUUGAUUUGAAAAACUGUCAAUCACUGAUAAAUUAGAUCAGAUAGUAUUACUCUACAACAUUAGCUAAUCAUAUUUGCCUGAUAGUUCAGAACGUGCAGGAAAAAUAAUAAAGAUUCAAAUGAAAAUAUUGAAGAUGUUUUUUCCCAGAUGUUGAGUACAAAUUGCUUUGUCACCAAUAUUAGCAAUUGACUUUAGAAAUAAAUGCACCCAUACACACACACACACAUCUGAGAAAGAAAUAAGAUUUAUGUAAUCUUAGAUUUUUUUUUUAGCUUAUAUGGCUGUAGCUAUUUGAACAAUUCCAAAAAUGCCUUUAUGGGUGUCAGAGAGGGAGGGGAAUCUUCAACCACAUGAUCUUCUCUCCAGAGUCCUGUUAAAUGUACUGAACUUAAAACAGAACAAGAAGUGUGAAAUAUAGGUUUGAACACGAUAUGUCAGAAAUAUAAAGGUUGGAAGCCUUUUUAGUAGCCGAUAUUAAUAUUGUAUUAAAUGUUAUGAAAAGGUAGGUGUUGGGGAGAGGGGCUGGGCUCAUGUGCAAUUUUGUCAAGGUUUUUAUCUGUGAUUAUGAUUCCAGAUGUAUCUAUUCCCUAAGGAAAGGAAUGAAGUGAAGCUGGCAUGUGACAUGUGUUUUAAGGUGUUUGGCACAGGUUCCCAAAGUGAUGACAAAAUGUUCAUUUUUAUUACAGUGAUUCAGUAAAAGAAAUACGAUUGUGAAGGUCAAUGGUUUGUAUUUUAGAUAAAUAAUAGAUUACUAUUUGGGGAAAUGUCGUGUUUAAAUCCUGUUGCCUGAAUCUUGCAUCUAUCAUUAUAAAUAGAAUAGAAUAAUUUUAGCACAAUAUAUAGUGGAUAAUUACCAAUCAUGCAAGUUAAUUUUUUGGAGAGGCUACAGGAUUUCAUGCAUGUUAGAAAAGUAAAUAUUGCAACAGGAUUUUUCUUUUUGUACUUAGUACUGUAGCUGCUCCAUACUGCUAAUUUAUUUUUAAUCUAGUCCAGGAUACUACUCACUUCUUUAAGGUCAUUUUGCUAGUCUGUUUGCUGUACAAGUUAAGGUUCAAGUAACGGUAUUAAAAUUCUUUGUAGGAACACAUUUCUUUUUUACCAUAAACAGAUAGAAUUUGUUUUAACAAAGCACUGAAGGUAUUUUGUCUUACUGCAACUAUUGUGUCUAAAUACACGUAAAGAGUUUAGAUGGGAAAGUUCCCUGUGCUCCCCCCUCCUUGCUCCUUUUCACUAUGUAAUAGUAUCAGUAAUUCCACUCUGACAGCAGGGCACCCAGAGCUGCAUUACCAGGCAAACACUCACUCAUAAACAUUUUACAAGUUCAAUAUCAACCAAUCCUAGAGGUUUGGGGGGCUGCCCUGAUUGGGUAUAUUCUGGAUUUGGUAAACAUUGCUACAUAACAAAAAGGUUUGUAAUGAAAGACUCCACUAGCACUGCCUCUUCUGAAUAAUCAGAGACUAAGGAUAUGAUUCACUCCAUAUUUUCUAACUAAACCUCCACAGCUCUGUAUCUGAGCUGUGCUCAGUAUGUUCCUUUCUGCACAUUUCUGUUUCAUUGUGAAUUUAACCACAUCAGAAAGCACCUUAGAUUCUUAGCACAAAUAUUAGAUGCAUUUAAUGUAAGGAAGCUUCCUUUAUUGGAGGUGAUUGGGAACAUUUUGUAUUUUAUAGGUGUAUUUAAGAGGUUAGCAGUAGGGGGGAAUCGUCUGUGGAAAAUCUGCCUGUAACUGAAAUUUUUAGAUGCAGAAGUGUUGCUGAAAUGCUGAUUACGCUCACAUUCUUUUGUUAAGGAGCUCACAACAGCAUGCUCUUAGUUACCACAUAGCAGAAAUCAAGCUUGUCUGUUUUUUUUAAAUCAAACAUCAUUUUCCUCUUUGCUGUCAUUUGUCAUCUUCAACAUUAUAUUUUCCUGUUUUUAUUUUUCUUGUGCAAUCUCUCUUAUAAGUUUUUCUUUUUCAAGGACUUUAUCCAGCUAUGCUUUUAUCGUUAUGUUAUUAAAAAAUAUCUCCCAUAAGUUUAUUUUACAUUUUCUCUGUAUAUAUGAAAGUUAUUAAACAGCUCUCUAGCUAUUACAUUAUGAAUAAUGGUUUACAAGUUUUGACAGUUUUAUUUUCUGCAGGAUAAUUUCUCACUGAUAAAAUGAUCUGAAUAAAUACAUACAAAGCUU